rnacentral:rRNA from 1 species
ACAGUCACACAUUAGAUACCCGGGUAGUCCCAGCCGUAAACUAUGCUCGCUAGGUGUCAGGCAUGGCGCGACCGUGUCUGGUGCCGCAGGGAAGCCGUGAAGCGAGCCACCUGGGAAGUACGGCCGCAAGGCUGAAACUUAAAGGAAUUGGCGGGGGAGCACAACAACGGGUGGAGCCUGCGGUUUAAUUGGACUCAACGCCGGACAACUCACCGGGGACGACAGCAAUAUGUAGGCCAGGCUGAAGACCUUGCCUGGAUCGCUG